AUGGGGAACACUAACUUUGCUUGUUAUAAGCCAAUCUGGAAAUCCAAGGCACCCCCUCGAUGCAAAUUCUUCAUGUGGCUUGCAGUACAUCAACGGUGUCUGACUGCGGACAACCUGUCACAACCGGAAACAUGCUUACAUCUUUUUAUGCACUGCAACUACACCAAGCUACUUUGGCGUCGCUUUAGAGCUUGGACGAGAGCUGAUUUUCUUAUCUCGGAUGCUACUUUCAGCUCCACGGAGGAAUGGUGGCUGCAGGCCAGGGCGGCUAUCCCGAAACCAUUCAGGAGAAACUUCGACACGGUUACCAUCCUUAUACACCGGAGGAUUUGGAAGGAAAGAAAUGCUAGGAUUUUUGACACUGUGAAUAGUUCGGUGGACAGGGUGGGGACCUGAUCCCUAGAGGAUGUCAAUGUCUGGAGGGCUGCGGGGUGUAUUGCUGACCUGCCGUCGUGA
rnacentral:rRNA from 1 species